rnacentral:rRNA from 1 species
CUGAUGCAGCGACGCCGCGUGAGGGAUGACGGCCUUCGGGUUGUAAACCUCUUUCAGCAGGGAAGAAGCGAGAGUGACGGUACCUGCAGAAGAAGCGCCGGCUAACUACGUGCCAGCAGCCGCGGUAAUACGUAGGGCGCAAGCGUUGUCCGGAAUUAUUGGGCGUAAAGAGCUCGUAGGCGGCUUGUCGCGUCGGAUGUGAAAGCCCGGGGCUUAACCCCGGGUCUGCAUUCGAUACGGGCAGGCUAGAGUUCGGUAGGGGAGAUCGGAAUUCCUGGUGUAGCGGUGAAAUGCGCAGAUAUCAGGAGGAACACCGGUGGCGAAGGCGGAUCUCUGGGCCGAUACUGACGCUGAGGAGCGAAAGCGUGGGGAGCGAACAGGAUUAGAUACCCUGGUAGUCCACGCCGUAAACGUUGGGAACUAGGUGUGGGCGACAUUCCACGUCGUCCGUGCCGCAGCUAACGCAUUAAGUUCCCCGCCUGGGGAGUACGGCCGCAAGGCUAAAACUCAAAGGAAUUGACGGGGGCCCGCACAAGCAGCGGAGCAUGUGGCUUAAUUCGACGCAACGCGAAGAACCUUACCAAGGCUUGACAUACACCGGAAACGUCUGGAGACAGGCGCCCCCUUGUGGUCG